UACGGGGGGGGCAAGCGUUGUUCGGAAUUACUGGGCGUAAAGGGCUCGUAGGCGGCCAACUAAGUCAUACGUGAAAUCCCUCGGCUUAACCGGGGAACUGCGUCUGAUACUGGAUGGCUUGAGUUCGGGAGAGGGAUGCGGAAUUCCAGGUGUAGCGGUGAAAUGCGUAGAUAUCUGGAGGAACACCGGUGGCGAAGGCGGCAUCCGGGACCGAUACUGACGCUGAGGAGCGAAAGCCAGGGGAGCAAACGGG
rnacentral:rRNA from 1 species